GUAGGUGAACCUGCGGAAGGAUCAUUAACAAGUCCUGCUGUGCGUGCAAGAGCAAUCUUUGCAUGCGCACAUCCGUUCCAUGUACAGUUCGCUGUGCAUGACAUUUCUGCAAAUCUCUGAUUGUCACAAUUCAAACUAAUACAAACUUUUAACAAUGGAUCUCUAGGCUCUU
rnacentral:misc_RNA from 1 species